rnacentral:rRNA from 1 species
CUCCCACCCAUUGCUAUCACUACUCUCGUUGCUUUGGCGGGCCGCUGGGCCCUGCCCGGCCGCCGGCCCCGGCUGGCGCGCGCCCGCCAGAGACCUCACAGACUCUGAAUGUUAGUGUCGUCCGAGUAACUAUAUAAUCGUUAAAACUUUCAACAACGGAUCUCUUGGUUCUGGCAUCGAUGAAGAACGCAGCGAAAUGCGAUAAGUAAUGCGAAUUGCAGAAUUCAGUGAGUCAUCGAAUCUUUGAACGCACAUUGCGCCCUGUGGUAUUCCGCAGGGCAUGCCUGUUCGAGCGUCAUUUCAACCCUCAAGCCUCGCUUGGUGUUGGGCCCUGCCCGUCGCGGCCGGCCCUAAAGAUAGUGGCGGCGCCGCCUGGCCCUCAGCGUAGUACAGCUCUCGCUCCAGGGUCCGGCGGCAGCCUGCCAGAACCCCCCAACUCUUGUGGUUGACCUCGGAUCAGGUAGGGAUACCCGCUGAACUUAAGCAUAUCAAUAA